CUUGGAAGCUGAGCCCCGCGUCCUCGGUGCAAAGUCCUCCCGGCCGCCGGGGUUCCCCAAAACGCGGAGGCCUAGCCGGCUCCCAUUACGCGGGGAAGCGUCCGCGUUCCUCACCGCGAGGAGUCACCGGAGCCCCCGAAUUCAAAUAGGGGCAGGCGAGGAGGAAGGGGAGGAUCCUCUUUUGGACUUUCUGCGUCGCAAUUCCUCCAGGUCUGCAGACAGCCGAGUCGAGACAAACAUCACUUGGUGAAUUUAAAGAGAGACAAACUUCUGGUAUCUCAGAUCAAACGUGUGGGAAAAAAGCAUGUUGGCCACAACAUUCUGACUUGAGGUAUACUUUUGAAGAAUUAAGUGUCUUCACCUCUGGGAAAGGAAAGGAUUAUUUGACAGGUAAUGUGUGCACACCCUAUGAAGCUACACAAUGACAAAGAUGCUUCUUUGCCCCCCGACCCCCCAAAAUACUCAUUUUGUCAAUCUAGUCAAUACUCAAAGGAAAAAUUGGUUGUAAACAUGUUUUACAUAUGUUCACUGUUUUUUGUUCUUUUAUACAGUUUACUCAAGAAGCCUAUGUAUGCCCAGGCUGAAUUGUCUAAGCUUUUGAAAAGUGUCCUAUAACAUACAGCCUUAAUUUAUUAAUGUGAAAAAUAACUUGGAAGGAAAAUAUCAUGGUCCCAAAAUUUGUACCCUUGGAAGUAGCAUCCAGUCUACCACUAUGACUACACUGACUAAACAAGUCCUUGGAGCAAUACGGCAAAUGUCGGUUCCUGUGUGACUGCAUAGUGUAUAAAUGUUUUAACUGCGAAAAAUGAGGUAACUGUUUUACCUUUCUAGAUGCAAAAAACAAAUUCUCUAGAAGUUUACUUGUGUCAAAUCAAAAUAAAAUAAUUUCAUCAAAAUGAAAAACCCUUUUUCUUUGAAGUUAAAAAUUAAAUCUGGGUCAAAUUAAAUUUAAGGAGUUUUAUUAUAUCCUAGAAAAACUAAAGUGAUCCUAUGGAAUUUCAAAGGCGCAUAUAUAUAACAAUGUUAUGCAGCUUUAUAACCUGACCAUAAAUUCUGGAAACAAAGUGAAUAUGCAUAAUAAAUGAUUUCUUGCUUUACCAUGACAAUACGUGACAUGUUUGAUGACAGAGACAUUGCCUGAUAUGUUUUAAAUGUAUUUUCUCUUGUAGCAAUACAUAGUUCUUGUUGCAAUUUUUCUCCAUCCUAGCAGAAGCAUCUUCAAUGUGUUAUCUUGGUUGACUUCUCUCAUUUUUACUAAAUAAACCUACACCUUUAGCAUACUCCAGAAGAAACAAGGAAUCAGAGGGGUUCUAUCUGUAAAGUUGAUAUAUAACAUAAUAUACCUUAAUAUAAAUCUGUAAAAAAAUAAAAUAGUAUUGUUUGUAUUUCUAAACUUUAUGGCUACCCUUUAUAUAAAGGGAAACUGAUAACUGGUAUUUAACUUUCCAUUGGUCUUCAGUAUUUUGUUUUCAUCCUACAUGUAGGUAAAAGUAAAAGCCCAGUAAAAUCAGCCAUUAUAUUUACUUUUAAAUGGUUGACCAACAAGUUGUUCUUACCUUAUAGAUACUUAAGACACCAUAGUAGCUUAUAGAUAUUACAGCUAAUUCUGUUUCCCUCUUUCCAUUGGCUUUCGAAAGCCUGGAACAAAAUGUAUGUCCCAUCUGUAGAGAAUCUUACUGUGUGCAUUUUGAGAAGUAACCUCAUUUCAAGGUUCAUUUUAACUUUCCUCUGUCAUUUUCCUCAUGUACUCAUUUAUUUUCCCACCUACUUAAAGAAAAUAACAAACUUGUUUUUCUCUUCAUAAAUGUAAUAGAUAUUCGCUAUGUAAGAUGUAUAAAAUACGUAUAAGAAAAAAGAAGAAAAUAAAAACGAUCAGUCCAGUGCUCGCUUGGGCAGCACAGAUACUAAAAUUGGAACGAUACAGAUAAGAUUAGCAUGGCCCCUGUGCAAGUAUGACACACAGAUUCAUGAAGCUUCCAUAUUUUAAAAAAUAAGAAUGAAAGAUCAGUCCAUUCACCACCAUUUUUAGUUCUUACUAUUUUGUUUACCCUUUUCUUUUGCAUAUAUAUGCAU